GCUCCGGUGGCCUAGUGGUUGGAGCGUCCGCUUCGGAUGCGGGAGGUUGUGGGUUCGACCUCCGGUCGAGUCA